UACGAAGGGGGCUAGCGUUGCUCGGAAUGACUGGGCGUAAAGGGCGCGUAGGCGGUUUGUACAGUCAGAUGUGAAAUUCCUGGGCUCAACCUGGGGGCUGCAUUUGAUACGUGCGGACUUGAGUGAGGAAGAGGGUCGUGGAAUUCCCAGUGUAGAGGUGAAAUUCGUAGAUAUUGGGAAGAACACCGGUGGCGAAGGCGGCGACCUGGUCCAUUACUGACGCUGAGGCGCGACAGCGUGGGGGAGCAAACAGG
rnacentral:rRNA from 1 species